GGUAACCCCGGCGGCUCGAGUGGUACCCGCUUUUUUUGGGUUUAAAGGGUCUGUAGCCGGCCGAUUAAUUUUCUUGGGAAAUCCGGCAUCUCAAGUGUCGGGCUGCCGGGGGAUACUGGUCGGCUUGGGACCGGGAGAGGUGGGAGGUACUUCCGGGGUAGGGGUGAAAUCUUGUAAUCCUGGAGGGACCACCAGUGGCGAAGGCGUCUCACCAGAACGGAUCCGACGGCAAGGGACGAAAGCCAGGGGCACGAACCGGAUUAGAUACCCGGGUAGUCCUAGCCNUAAACGAUACUCGCUAGGUGUCGGCCACGGUGCGACCGUCGCCGGUGCCGAAGGGAAGCCGUUAAGCGCGCCGCCAGGGAAGUACGGCCGCAAG
rnacentral:rRNA from 1 species